GAGUUUGAUCUUGGCUCAGAGUGAACGCUGGCGGUAGGCCUAACACAUGCAGGUCGAACGGCAGCACAGAGGAGCUUGCUCCUUGGGUGGCGAGUGGCGGACGGGUGAGGAAUACAUCGGAAUCUACUCUGUCGUGGGGGAUAACGUAGGGAAACUUACGCUAAUACCGCAUACGACCUACGGGUGAAAGCAGGGGAUCUUCGGACCUUGCGCGAUUGAAUGAGCCGAUGUCGGAUUAGCUAGUUGGCGGGUAAAGGCCCACCAAGGCGACGAUCCGUAGCUGGUCUGAGAGGAUGAUCAGCCACACUGGAACUGAGACACGGUCCAGACUCCUACGGGAGGCAGCAGUGGGGAAUAUUGGACAAUGGGCGCAAGCCUGAUCCAGCCAUACCGCGUGGGUGAAGAAGGCCUCGGUUGUAAGUACCGUUUA
rnacentral:rRNA from 1 species